GGCCAAGUUUUUAAGGGCGCACGGUGGAUGCCUUGGCACCAGGAACCGAUGAAGGACGUGGGAGGCCACGAUAGUCCCCGGGGAGUCGUCAACCAGGCUUUGAUCCGGGGGUUUCCGAAUGGGGAAACCCGGCAGUCGUCAUGGGCUGUCACCCGCUGCUGAACACAUAGGCAGUGUGGAGGGAACGCGGGGAAGUGAAACAUCUCAGUACCCGCAGGAAGAGAAAACAACCGUGAUUCCGGGAGUAGUGGCGAGCGAAACCGGAUGAGGCCAAACCGUAUGCGUGUGAGACCCGGCAGGGGUUGCGUAUACGGGGUUGUGGGAUCUCUCUUCUGUUGUCUGCCGGCAACAGGACGAGUCAGAAACCGUUGAUGUAGGCGAAGGACAUGCGAAAGGUCCGGCGUAGAGGGUAAGACCCCCGUAGUCGAAACGUCAGCGGCUCGUUUGAGAGACACCCAAGUAGCACGGGGCCCGAGAAAUCCCGUGUGAAUCUGGCGGGACCACCCGCUAAGCCUAAAUAUUCCCUGGUGACCGAUAGCGGAUAGUACCGUGAGGGAAUGGUGAAAAGUACCGCGGGAGCGGAGUGAAAUAGUACCUGAAACCGUGUGCCUACAAGCCGUGGGAGCGUCGGAUGGAAGCUUGCUUCCAUCUCGUGACUGCGUGCCUUUUGAAGAAUGAGCCUGCGAGUUUGCGGUGUGUUGCGAGGUUAACCCGGGUGGGGAAGCCGUAGCGAAAGCGAGUCCGAAUAGGGCGUUUCAGUAGCACGCUCAAGACCCGAAGCGGAGUGAUCUAGCCAUGGGCAGGUUGAAGCGGAGGUAAGACUUCGUGGAGGACCGAACCCACCAGGGUUGAAAACCUGGGGGAUGACCUGUGGUUAGGGGUGAAAGGCCAAUCAAACUCCGUGAUAGCUGGUUCUCCCCGAAAUGCAUUUAGGUGCAGCGUCGUGUGUUUCUUGCCGGAGGUAGAGCACUGGAUAGGCGAUGGGCCCUACCGGGUUACUGACCUUAGCCAAACUCCGAAUGCCGGUAAGUGAGAGCGCGGCAGUGAGACUGUGGGGGAUAAGCUCCAUGGUCGAGAGGGAAACAGCCCAGAGCAUCGACUAAGGCCCCUAAGCGUACGCUAAGUGGGAAAGGAUGUGGAGUCGCACAGACAACCAGGAGGUUGGCUUAGAAGCAGCCACCCUUGAAAGAGUGCGUAAUAGCUCACUGGUCUAGUGAUUCCGCGCCGACAAUGUAGCGGGGCUCAAGCGUACCGCCGAAGUCGUGUCAUUGCAGCAAUACGGCCAACGCCGGCUGUGAUGGGUAGGGGAGCGUCGUGUGCCGGGUGAAGCAGCACCGGAAGGUAGUUGUGGACGGUUCACGAGUGAGAAUGCAGGCAUGAGUAGCGAUUCACACGUGAGAAACGUGUGCGCCGAUUGACUAAGGGUUCCUGGGUCAAGCUGAUCUGCCCAGGGUAAGUCGGGACCUAAGGCGAGGCCGACAGGCGUAGUCGAUGGAUAACCGGUUGAUAUUCCGGUACCCGCUGUGAAGCGUCAAACAUCGAAUCCAGUGAUGCUAAGCCCGUGAAGCCGUUCCGGACCCUUCGGGGAAAGGAAAGUGGUGGAGCCGGUGACCCGAUCUGGUAGUAGGUGAGUGAUGGGGUGACGCAGGAAGGUAGUCCAGCCCGGGCGGUGGUUGUCCCGGGGUAAGGGUGUAGGCCGUGCGGUAGGUAAAUCCGUCGCACACAAGGCUGAGACCUGAUGCCGAGCCGAUUGUGGUGAAGUGGAUGAUCCUAUGCUGUCGAGAAAAGCCUCUAGCGAGUUUCAUGGCGGCCCGUACCCUAAACCGACUCAGGUGGUCAGGUAGAGAAUACCGAGGCGUUCGGGUGAACUAUGGUUAAGGAACUCGGCAAAAUGCCCCCGUAACUUCGGGAGAAGGGGGCCACAUCUGGUGAUGAGCUUUGCGCUCUGAGCUGGGGGUGGCCGCAGAGACCAGCGAGAAGCGACUGUUUACUAAAAACACAGGUCCGUGCGAAGCCGUAAGGCGAUGUAUACGGACUGACGCCUGCCCGGUGCUGGAACGUUAAGGGGACCGGUUAGCUCCAUUUCGGUGGGGCGAAGCUGAGAACUUAAGCGCCAGUAAACGGCGGUGGUAACUAUAACCAUCCUAAGGUAGCGAAAUUCCUUGUCGGGUAAGUUCCGACCUGCACGAAUGGCGUAACGACUUCUCGACUGUCUCAACCAUAGGCCCGGUGAAAUUGCACUACGAGUAAAGAUGCUCGUUUCGCGCAGCAGGACGGAAAGACCCCGGGACCUUUACUACAGUUUGAUAUUGGUGUUCGGUUCGGCUUGUGUAGGAUAGCUGGGAGACUGUGAAGCGCUAACGCCAGUUAGUGUGGAGUCGUCGUUGAAAUACCAGUCUGGUCGUGCUGGAUGUCUAACCUGGGUCCGUGAUCCGGAUCAGGGACAGUGUCUGAUGGGUAGUUUAACUGGGGCGGUUGCCUCCUAAAGAGUAACGGAGGCGCCCAAAGGUUCCCUCAGCCUGGUUGGCAAUCAGGUGUUGAGUGUAAGUGCACAAGGGAGCUUGACUGUGAGACCGACGGGUCGAGCAGGGACGAAAGUCGGGACUAGUGAUCCGGCGGUGGCUUGUGGAAGCGCCGUCGCUCAACGGAUAAAAGGUACCCCGGGGAUAACAGGCUGAUCUUCCCCAAGAGUCCAUAUCGACGGGAUGGUUUGGCACCUCGAUGUCGGCUCGUCGCAUCCUGGGGCUGGAGUCGGUCCCAAGGGUUGGGCUGUUCGCCCAUUAAAGCGGUACGCGAGCUGGGUUUAGAACGUCGUGAGACAGUUCGGUCCCUAUCCGCUGUGCGCGUAGGAGUCUUGAGAAGGGCUGUCCCUAGUACGAGAGGACCGGGACGGACGAACCUCUGGUGUGCCAGUUGUUCUGCCAAGGGCAUGGCUGGUUGGCUACGUUCGGGAGGGAUAACCGCUGAAAGCAUCUAAGCGGGAAGCCUGCUUCGAGAUGAGGACUCCCACCUCCUAGAGAGGGUAAGGCUCCCAGUAGACGACUGGGUUGAUAGGCCGGAUAUGGAAGCACGGUAACGUGUGGAGUUGACCGGUACUAAUAGGCCGAGGGCUUGUCCUC
rnacentral:rRNA from 1 species